rnacentral:rRNA from 1 species
UACGAGGGGAGCUAGCGUUGCUCGGAAUGACUGGGCGUAAAGGGCGCGUAGGCGGCGUUUGCACCGUCAGAUGUGAAAAUUCCCGUGGGCUUAACCUGGGGGCUGGCAUUUGAUACGUGUGGGCUUGAAGUGCGGAAGAGGGUCGUGGAAUUCCCGAGUGUAGAGGUGAAAAUUCGUAGAUAUUGGGAAGAACACCGGUGGCGAAGGCGGCGACCUGGUCCGUG